UUCCUCUGGUUCCCUUUUCUACAAAACUCCCGUCCUCCGCAGGCCGGGGAGUGGUUCCGNNNNNNNNNNNNNNNNNNNNNNNNNNNNNNAUGCCGAGUUGCUAGAAGGUCCUUCUUAAUCGCGUCCAUUGCUGUUUCUCAGCACCUGGAGCAGGGCCUCCGCCAAGGACGUCACUGCACAAAGGUCCCGAAUGAACGGAUGGAUGUUGGAACGGCUCCCUCCUCCGCAUUCAGGCAAGACACUGGAGCUGAGGCCACCAGGCGGUGUCUGCUGCGUGGUUAGCACGGAGACCCAAAUCCUCAGAGCCCCCCAGCCCUUUCCUGGAAUCCAGUGUGGUCAGCAGAGCCUCUGGAAAUGGGAAGUGUCUGGAGGUAAAGCAGGGCGCAGAGAAGCCGGGGCCCAAGUUAAUUACAGAGGAAGCGACCCUGGUCUGGUCCCCCGGGGUGGGUGGGGGGCAAGUCCGCUUUCCCAGCAUUUCAGGCCCCUGUUAAGUAGAAGGUGGGAUGGGGAGGCCGGUCCUCUCCUGCUGCCCCCUCCCCACCCCUUUGCCUUUGUCUUGUCCUCCAUCCCACUCGCUCCCAUGCUGCCUGCUGCAGAGAGGCUGGAGCCGACAGCUUGGCUCCUUGCCGGGGCGGGAGGCCUGUCCGGUCACCAGGGUCCUGCACCAGCCGAGGGGCUGUCCCUGGGAUGCCUCCCAUUGCCUUUCACGGAGCCUUGGGGCCAGGGCGUGGCGCUUUGGUCUCUUUGCUCGGGAACCACACUCAGGGCGGUUGGUCAUCCAUGGAUGUGAGCAUCAGCAGGAGAGACAGAAGCCCAGUGAGGAGCCACCCGCUUGUCCUUCAAGCUCUUAAGGACACGAGAGGCAGGAAGAGAGGCAGAAGAAUACAGAACGUGGGAAUAGCUACAGUCGCCUCUACGGAGCCCAGUGCUCCGGCGAUCAGGAGCUUCCGAGACGAGCCAGGGCUGGCCUUCCCUCUCUAGGCGCCAGAGAAUAAGCGAAAGAAAGCACAAUAAACACUGCAGCUUCUCGGACCUCCGCUCUGCAAGUAUUGCGUGCUGUACACAGCGUCGAAUCUUCGUUUCCCUGUGAAUUGCAAGAAACCCCUGGCCGGUUGGGGGCGAAUCCAAACAGCCCUGUUGGGGGAAGUCGGUUCCCGGAGGGGGGCUCCCGGAGGGCCGGCCCACGUGCCUCCAGGCUCUGACCCCCGACAGCAUCGAUGUCAGGCAGAGCGGCCCGGCGUCCUCGGGGAGGCUGGGUGUCUGGUCUGGGAGAGGCCACCUGGCCCCCACGUCCGGUAUCACGUUAGGGGAAACCAAAGGGCAAGUACCAGAACCGGCUCCUCGUUCGCUGAGGUUUGGGACUAAACAAAACAAACAUACAGUGGCGAAAAGCAUUGGUCCUUUACAGACACACAUGUCCUCUGGGGAUGCGAAUGUACGGAGGCCGCGGGUCCAGUUCGGCUUCCGCUCAGCCAGGCCGAGCCGCUCCGGGGCGGUGCCACUGGGCGAGGUCCCAUCCUCUCCUACCUCUUCUGGCUGCCAGGGGGAUCCCAGGUGUCCCUGGCCUCUCUUUUGGCAAAGUGUUUGGUGCCAACUUGUGCUCAUUCUUCUCCUCCUCGCUUUCUUUUCUUUUCUUUCUUUUUCUUUAAUUUUAAGGGCAAGGAAACAAUCAUUUCCCCUCCACCUUCUCUCUGCAGGCUUUUUCUGGUGCCGGGAAACAAGUUAUACGAGGAAGUGGGGGUGUGGAAGAAGGAAGGGCACAGAAAUCAGAAUUAAACGAAAGUUGGACGGGAUUGACAGGGAGGCUUUUUGUUUGUUUUAUUUCUGGUUUUCCUUUUUCUUAAAAAAAAUUAAAUAAAGUUCUCAUUAUUUCCCCAAUAUACAUCGAAUGAGUUUUCAUGCAAAGCAGCAGUCACAGAGGCAGAACCAUGCCCAGCUCGUGCCUCUCAGCUUGAAGAACCGGCUUCUCUGGGCCCCACGUCCCGCCUGUGCUCUCCGUGGGUGGAGGGCACCUGCCGUCUCUCCCUGCAGGACCGGCUGUGACGAAACUUGGCUGGCGUGGGGAGAGGGGCCCUCCCCUGUCCCCGGGGACGGGGUCUCGGGGACAGCAAGCUCUGGGGCUGAUCCUCUUCAGGGUCCUUCCUUCUGAGACGCCCAGUAUGACAGCUCUCACGGGUCCCCUUUCCCCAUCUCUCAGCUCUCGAUGGACAUGGCAUUUAUGAGCUGUUCCACCUUGUACGCCAGCCGCUGUCGCCGGGCCUGCUCGUCCUGCUCUAGGGCCCCGAUGAGCUGAGGAACAAGAACGAAGGUGAGGCAGGCUCAGGACUCAACACCGAACAGGCCGUUUUCUAGAAUCCGUCAUCCCUCCAUCUGCCUUUCCCUUCUGCCCCAAUAAAGAUAACCUUAAACAGUGUAAACGAUUGGCUGAGCGUACGUACACACGUGCGUGUGCGUGGAUAGAUCUCAAAGACGUGCCAUGGAAGCGUUAGCUGUUAUUGCUACGACUGCUAUUACUUUCAGGUGCAAUGCUAGGGCACAACUUGUGAGUUCUCCUAAGCUGUCCUCUUCAGGAGAACUCACGAGUCUUACUCCGUGUUAGGACCCACCCGUCUCUCUGAAAUGUAACUGACAGCAUCCGCCCAACUGCGGAGCAUAGUCGGAUGCAUUGUGCAAGAAAAGAUGAGCUGGAGUUCCCGUCGUGGCGCAGUGGUUAACGAAUCCGACUAGGAACCAUGAGGUUGCGGGUUCGGUCCCUGCCCUUGCUCAGUGGGUUAACGAUCCGGCGUUGCCGUGAGCUGUGGUGUAGGUUGCAGACGCGGCUCGGAUCCCGCGUUGCUGUGGCUCUGGUGUAGGCCGGUGGCUACAGCUCCAAUUGGACCCCUAGCCUGGGAAUCUCCAUAUGCCACGGGAGUGGCCCAAAGAAACAGCAAAAAGACAAAAAAAAAAAAAAAAAGAAAAGAAAAGAUGAGCUUAAUCAUGCCCUUUGAACUGGAAAACAAUUCCAGCUUUCAAAGCGUUCUAUUUGCAUUAACCAUGAAGGCCAGACAAUGCAAGGUCUCAGAAGCACUGUGUGGGUCAGGAGAGGCCUGGCUGCCUUCGGAAGGAACGCUGAUGACUUUUCGACUCCCUGAGCGUCUCCUGGAUGACCGUCCGUGGCUGUCGUUUCCGGAUGGAGCCCGCGUUCCGUUUACCCUGCCCUGUCCCCGGCGCGCGGGCCCCGCCCCUCCCCGGGCCCUGUCUCACCUCUUCGCUGUACUUGCUGACGUAGGAGUAGAUCUCGCUGAGGGCGCUGAGCAUGUUGAAGUCCACGGCGUGCAGGCGGGACUGCUCCGCGAGGUAGGCGUUCAUGUCCUGGUCGCUGAUGGCGGGGAGCUUGGCGAUGUCUGCGUAGUAUCUGCCGUAGAGAGGACAGGCUCCUUGGUGGGGACUCCAAGUAUCUGCCUCCCCGCUGCCCGCCCCGGCCCCGGGCCCCAUGGGAACACGGGUGUCCCCAGCUGCUCCCGCUUCCCUCUUUCUCUUCUCAGGAGCUUCCUCUUGCC
ensembl:lncRNA